rnacentral:rRNA from 1 species
AAAGAUCUUACACCGAAGACGAUUUUAAGGCAAGAUUAAAAAGGUAAAAAAACUUUAUUGCUCAGACGAUCUUAAUUAUGGAUUAAGCCUGUACCCAACCAGGUACGCACUGCCCAAAAAAUAUAUUCAGCUCAACAACGAUAAAACUAUAAUGUUUUUAGUU